rnacentral:rRNA from 1 species
GCGAAUGGCUCAUUAAAUCAGUUAUCGUUUAUUUGAUAGUACCUUACUACUUGGAUAACCGUGGUAAUUCUAGAGCUAAUACAUGCUAAAAAUCCCGACUUCGGAAGGGAUGUAUUUAUUAGAUUAAAAACCAAUGCCCUUUGGGCUCACUGGUGAUUCAUGAUAACUUCUCGAAUCGCAUGGCCUUGCGCCGGCGAUGGUUCAUUCAAAUUUCUGCCCUAUCAACUUUCGACGGCUGGGUCUUGGCCAGCCAUGGUGACAACGGGUAACGGAGGGUUAGGGCUCGACCCCGGAGAAGGAGCCUGAGAAACGGCUACUACAUCCAAGGAAGGCAGCAGGCGCGCAAAUUACCCAAUCCCGACACGGGGAGGUAGUGACAAUACAUACUGAUACAGGGCUCUUUUGGGUCUUGUAAUUGGAAUGAGUACAAUUUAAAUCCCUUAACGAGGAACAAUUGGAGGGCAAGUCUGGUGCCAGCAGCCGCGGUAAUUCCAGCUCCAAUAGCGUAUAUUAAAGUUGUUGCGGUUAAAAAGCUCGUAGUUGAACCUUGGGCCUGGCUGGCCGGUCCGCCUCACCGCGUGCACUGGUACGGUCGGGCCUUUCCCUCUGGGGAACCGCAUGCCCUUCACUGGGUGUGUCGGGGAACCAGGACUUUUACUUUGAAAAAAUUAGAGUGUUCAAAGCAGGCUUAUGCUCGGAUACAUUAGCAUGGAAUAAUAGAAUAGGACGUGCGGUUCUAUUUUGUUGGUUUCUAGGACCGCCGUAAUGAUUAAUAGGGACAGUCGGGGGCAUCAGUAUUCAAUUGUCAGAGGUGAAAUUCUUGGAUUUAUUGAAGACUAACUACUGCGAAAGCAUUUGCCAAGGAUGUUUUCAUUAAUCAGGAACGAAAGUUAGGGGAUCGAAGACGAUCAGAUACCGUCGUAGUCUUAACCAUAAACUAUGCGAACUAGGGAUCGGACGAUGUUAUUAUUUGACUCGUUCGGCACCUUACACG